UGAUUCCUACGGGAGGCAGCAGUGAGGAAUUUUGGACAAUGGGGGCAACCCUGAUCCAGCAAUGCCGCGUGAGUGAAGAAGGCCUUCGGGUUGUAAAGCUCUUUUGUCAGGGAAGAAACAGCAGCUCUAACACAGUCUGCGAAUGACGGUACCUGAAGAAUAAGCACCGGCUAACUACGUGCCAGCAGCCGCGGUAAUACGUAGGGUGCGAGCGUUAAUCGGAAUUACUGGGCGUAAAGCGUGCGCAGGCGGUUAUACAAGACAGGCGUGAAAUCCCCGGGCUUAACCUGGGAAUGGCGUCUGUGACUGUAUAGCUAGAGUGUGUCAGAGGGGGGUGGAAUUCCACGUGUAGCAGUGAAAUGCGUAGAUAUGUGGAGGAACACCAAUGGCGAAGGCAGCCCCCUGGGAUAACACUGACGCUCAUGCACGAAAGCGUGGGGAGCAAACAGGAUUAGAUACCCUGGUAGUCCACGCCCUAAACGAUGCUGACUAGUUGUUGGGAAUUUACAUUCUCAGUAACGUAGCUAACGCGUGAAGUCAGCCGCCUGGGGAGUACGGUCGCAAGAUUAAAACUCAAAGGAAUUGACGGAUCCCGCG
rnacentral:rRNA from 1 species